AACGAACGCUGGCGGCAUGCCUAACACAUGCAAGUCGAACGAGACCUUCGGGCCUAGUGGCGCACGGGUGCGUAACGCGUGGGAACCUGCCCUUAGGUUCGGAAUAACUGCCCGAAAGGGGUGCUAAUACCGCAUAAUGUCUUCGGACCAAAGAUUUAUCGCCUUUGGAUGGGCCCGGGUUGGAUUAGCCGGUUGGUAGGGUAAAAGCCUACCAAGGCGACGAUCCAUAGCUGGUCUGAGAGGAUGACAAGGCACACUGGGACUGCGGCACGGCCCAGUCUGCUACGGGACGCAGCAGUGGGGAAUAUUGGACACUGGGCGAAAGCCUGAUCCAGCCACGCCGCGUGAGUGAGGAAGGCCUUAGGGUUGUACAGCUCUUUUACACGGGAUGAGAAUGACAGUACCGGGAGAAUAAGCUCCGGCUAACUCCGUG
rnacentral:rRNA from 1 species